rnacentral:rRNA from 1 species
AUUGAACGCUGGCGGCAUGCCUUACACAUGCAAGUCGAACGGCAGCACGGGGGCAACCCUGGUGGCGAGUGGCGAACGGGUGAGUAAUGCAUCGGAACGUGCCCUGAAGUGGGGGAUAACGUAGCGAAAGUUACGCUAAUACCGCAUAUUCUGUGAGCAGGAAAGCAGGGGAUCGCAAGACCUUGCGCUUUAGGAGCGGCCGAUGUCGGAUUAGCUAGUUGGUGGGGUAAGAGCUCACCAAGGCGACGAUCCGUAGCGGGUCUGAGAGGAUGAUCCGCCACACUGGGACUGAGACACGGCCCAGACUCCUACGGGAGGCUG